GGAAGGAUCUCUUCUGGAGAUCACCUCUACUGGUGUUUUGUGGGUGAGCCCAGCAUAAGGUAUCCUAGGGGGAGCUGAGAUAUGAUGGGAGAACCCAAGAAGUUACAGCCUAAAACAGGCAGGACCCUGCCCUGGCUAUCCCACUGGGAUGAUGGAUAAGAAUGAAGACCAGGAGAGCAGGGAUGGCAGAGGCAAACAUCAUCCACAAUGGAAAGGUCCCAUUGCUGCCCAUGGGGUGAAUGAACCAGCCACGCUUGUGAGGAGAUG